ACUCAAAGGAAUUGACGGGGACCCGCACAAGCGGUGGAGCAUGUGGUUUAAUUCGAAGCAACGCGAAGAACCUUACCAAAUCUUGACAUCCUCUGAUCCCUCUAGAGAUAGAGUUUUCCCCGUCGGGGGACAGAGUGACAGGUGGUGCAUGGUUGUCGUCAGCUCGUGUCGUGAGAUGUUGGGUUAAGUCCCGCAACGAGCGCAACCCUUAAGCUUAG
rnacentral:rRNA from 1 species